UUGACGACACAAAAACAAAACAAAAAC
rnacentral:sRNA from 1 species